GGGCUGUCCAUUCUCUGCUCACCCUUCACCCCCAGCUCUGGGCCCUGGCAGAUGGACUUCUGUGCUGCCUUGGGCUUUCACCUCCGGUUGGACUGGUCUUUGGGUGGCAUGGGCAGGAGAUGAGUGUGAGGGAGGAGAGGGCUUGGGGGUCUGUAUCCCUCCACUUCUUCCCUGUAGGGCCGAAUGGCCCAGCGGCAGGCUUGUCCAGAACCCAAGGUUCCUGUCUGGCUGCUCUCUCUGGAGACUGCUGGUGUCUGCUAACUGCUCCUUCCUCACCCCCUCAGGUGAGGGGACCGGGAAAGGCUCCUGCAAAUGCUAGCCAGAGGGGGCUCUGCCCUCCCUUGCCUGUCCCUGCACCUCACCCACACCUUUUGUCAAUGGGUCCCUUCCACUCUCCGCAAUUACCCAACUGCAUGUCCCGCCCAGCCCCAGACCACUCCCUGGUCACAGAGCUGCUCCUGCUGCCCCCGGCUCCUCUCUGCAGGCUCAGUCUUUCACGCGUGCACUCAUCACAACAAUCCCACGAGGUGGACACCUGUAUCAGUCCGGUUCAUGAAGGAGGAAACUGAGGCACAGAGAGGACAGCUCUGGACGCUAGGGCCACCGUCAUAUGAAUCUCCUCCAGAGUAGCUUUCUCUGUCCUUUCAAAACAAAUUGGAUUUUCCUGAACAGUCCAAGAUCAAAGGCAGGAGGAAAGAUGAAGAUUUAUUUUCUCGUGCUCAGUUCAUGGAAGAGUUUAGUCCUGCAGAUGUUUAACCAGCUUCACGAGGACAUGCCAAGCCCUGCAAAUUUCUGGGGACACAAUGGUGAAGGGGCACAGGUCUAUGAUUCAUCAGUCUUAUAUAAUACCCAGUUCUCA